rnacentral:rRNA from 1 species
AUUGAACGCUGGCGGCAUGCCUUACACAUGCAAGUCGAACGGCAGCACGGGUGCUUGCACCUGGUGGCGAGUGGCGAACGGGUGAGUAAUACAUCGGCACGUACCUUAUCGUGGGGGAUAACGCAGCGAAAGCUGUGCUAAUACCGCAUACGCCCUGAGGGGGAAAGCGGGGGACCGAAAGACCUCGCGCGAUUAGAGCGGCCGAUGCCUGAUUAGCUUGUUGGUGGGGUAAAAGCCCACCAAGGCGACGAUCAGUAGCUGGUCUGAGAGGACGAUCAGCCACACUGGGACUGAGACACGGCCCAGACUCCUACGGGAGGCAGCAGUGGGGAAUUUUGGACAGUGGGGGCAACCCUGAUCCAGCAAUGCCGCGUGAGUGAAGAAGGCCUUCGGGUUGUAAAGCUCUUUUGUCAGGGAAGAAACACCGGCUCUAACACAGUCCGGGAAUGACGGUACCUGAAGAAUAAGCACCGGCUAACUACGUGCCAGCCGCCGCAGUAA